UACGUAGGGCGCAAGCGUUGUCCGGAAUUAUUGGGCGUAAAGAGCUCGUAGGCGGUCUGUCGCGUCGGAUGUGAAAGCCCGGGGCUUAACCCCGGGUCUGCAUUCGAUACGGGCAGACCAGAGUGUGGUAGGGGAGAUCGGAAUUCCUGGUGUAGCGGUGAAAUGCGCAGAUAUCAGGAGGAACACCGGUGGCGAAGGCGGAUCUCUGGGCCAUUACUGACGCUGAGGAGCGAAAGCGUGGGGAGCGAACAGG
rnacentral:rRNA from 1 species